rnacentral:rRNA from 1 species
CAGCAGCCGCGGUAAUACGUAGGUGGCAAGCGUUGUCCGGAAUUAUUGGGCGUAAAGGGCUCGCAGGCGGUUUCUUAAGUCUGAUGCGAAAGCCCCCGGCUCAACCGGGGAGGGUCAUUGGAAACUGGGAAACUUGAGUGCAGAAGAGGAGAGUGGAAUUCCACGUGUAGCGGUGAAAUGCGUAGAGAUGUGGAGGAACACCAGUGGCGAAGGCGACUCUCUGGUCUGUAACUGACGCUGAGGAGCGAAAGCGUGGGGAGCGAACAGGAUUAGAUACCCCCGUAGUCCCUGUCUCUUAUAC